CCUACGGGAGGCAGCAGUGGGGGAUAUUGCACAAUGGGGGAAACCCUGAUGCAGCGACGCCGCGUGAGUGAAGAAGUAUUUCGGUAUGUAAAGCUCUAUCAGCAGGGAAGAAAAUGACAGUACCUGACCAAUAAGCCCCGGCUAACUACGUGCCAGCAGCCGCGGUAAUACGUAGGGGGCCAGCGUUAUCCGGAUUUACUGGGUGUAAAGGGGGCGUAGACGGUUAUGUAAGUCUGGAGUGAAAGCCCGGGGCCCAACCCCGGGAUUGCAUUGGAAACUGUGUAACUGGAGUACAGGAGGGGCAGGCGGAAUUCCUGGUGUAGCGGUGAAAUGCGUAGAUAUCAGGAGGAACACCGGCGGCGAAGGCGGCCUACUGGACUGAAACUGACGUUGAGGCUCGAAAGCGUGGGGAGCAAACAGGAUUAGAUACCCUGGUAGUC
rnacentral:rRNA from 1 species